rnacentral:rRNA from 1 species
UACGGGGGGUGCGAGCGUUGUCCGGAAUCACUGGGCGUAAAGGGCGCGUAGGUGGUUUGAUAAGGGUGUGGUGAAAGUCCGGGGCUCAACCCCGGAUCUGCCGUGCCGACUGUCAAACUCGAGGGCUGUAGAGGCAGACGGAAUUCCGGGUGUAGCGGUGGAAUGCGUAGAGAUCCGGAGGAAGACCGGUGGCGAAGGCGGUCUGCUGGGCAGUCCUGGACGCUGAGGCACGAAGGUCAGGGGAGCAAACGGG